AUUGAACGCUGGCGGCAUGCCUUACACAUGCAAGUCGAACGGCAGCACGGGAGCUUGCUCCUGGUGGCGAGUGGCGAACGGGUGAGUAAUACAUCGGAACGUACCCUGAAGUGGGGGAUAACGUAGCGAAAGUUACGCUAAUACCGCAUAUUCUGUGAGCAGGAAAGAGGGGGAUCGCAAGACCUCUUGCUUUAGGAGCGGCCGAUGUCGGAUUAGCUAGUGGUGAGGUAAAGGCUCACCAAGGCGACGAUCCGUAGCGGGUCUGAGAGGAUGAUCCGCCACACUGGGACUGAGACACGGCCCAGACUCCUACGGGAGGCAGCAGUGGGGAAUUUUGGACAAUGGGCGCAAGCCUGAUCCAGCCAUGCCGCGUGAGUGAAGAAG
rnacentral:rRNA from 1 species